rnacentral:tRNA from 1 species
GUCCCUGUAGCGCAAUGGACAGCGCGUUGGGCUUCUAAUCCAAAAGUCAUGGGUUCGAAUCCUACCUGGGAUU